GAUGAACGCUAGCGGCAGGCCUAAUACAUGCAAGUCGAGGGAGAAUGUUGGAUUCGUCUGACAUGAAACCGGCGCACGGGUGCGUAACACGUAUGCAACCUACCUUUAACUGGGGUAUAGCUCAGAGAAAUCUGAAUUAAUCCCCCAUAAGACUACGACAUGGCAUCAUGAUGUAGUUAAAUCUCCGGCGGUUAAGGAUGGGCAUGCGGUACAUUAGCUAGUUGGUGCGGUAAUGGCUCACCAAGGAUAAGAUGUAUAGGGGGUCUGAGAGGAUGAUCCCCCACACUGGUACUGAGACACGGACCAGACUCCUACGGGAGGCAGCAGUAGGGAAUAUUGGUAAAUGGACGCAAGUCUGAACCAGCCAUGCCGCGUGAAGGAUGAAGGCCCUAUGGGUCGUAAGCUUCUUUUAUUAGGGAAGAAAAAACGGGAUGCGUCCUGUACUGACGGUACUUAAUGAAUAAGGAUCGGCUAACUUCGUGCCAGCAGCCGCCGUAA
rnacentral:rRNA from 1 species